CCUACGGGAGGCAGCAGUGAGGAAUCUUCCACAAUGGGCGAAAGCCUGAUGGAGCAACGCCGCGUGCAGGAUGAAGGCCUUCGGGUUGUAAACUGCUUUUAUAAGUGAAGAAUAUGACGGUAACUUAUGAAUAAGCACCGGCUAACUACGUGCCAGCAGCCGCGGUCAUACGUAGGGUGCAAGCAUUAUCCGGAGUGACUGGGCGUAAAGAGUUGCGUAGGUGGUUUGUUAAGCAGGUAGUGAAAUCUGGCGGCUCAACCGUACAGGCUAUUACCUGAACUGGCAAACUCGAGAAUGGUAGAGGUAACUGGAAUUUCUUGUGUAGGAGUGAAAUCCGUAGAUAUAAGAAGGAACACCAAUGGCGUAGGCAGGUUACUGGACCAUUUCUGACACUAAGGCACGAAAGCGUGGGGAGCGAACGGGAUUAGAUACCCUGGUAGUC
rnacentral:rRNA from 1 species